rnacentral:rRNA from 1 species
CAUGCAAGUCGAGCGGUAACAUUUCUAGCUUGCUAGAAGAUGACGAGCGGCGGACGGGUGAGUAACGCGUGGGAAUCUGCCUGGUAGUGGGGGACAACAGUCGGAAACGACUGCUAAUACCGCAUACGCCCUUCGGGGGAAAGUGGGGGAUCUUCGGACCUCACGCUAUCAGAUGAGCCCGCGUCGGAUUAGCUUGUUGGUGAGGUAAAGGCUCACCAAGGCGAUGAUCCGUAGCUGGUCUGAGAGGAUGAUCAGCCACACUGGGACUGAGACACGGCCCAGACUCCUACGGGAGGCAGCAGUGGGGAAUAUUGGACAAUGGGGGCAACCCUGAUCCAGCCAUGCCGCGUGUGUGAAGAAGGCCUUCGGGUUGUAAAGCACUUUCAGCAGUGAGGAAAGGUGUGUCGUUAAUACCGGCAUGCUGUGACGUUAACUGCAGAAGAAGGACCGGCUAACUCCGUGCCAGCAGCCGCGGUAAUACGGAGGGUCCGAGCGUUAAUCGGAAUUACUGGGCGUAAAGCGCGCGUAGGUGGUUCAGUCAGUCAGAUGUGAAAGCCCCGGGCUCAACCUGGGAAUUGCACCUGAUACUGCUGAGCUAGAGUACGGUAGAGGGUAGUGGAAUUUCCGGUGUAGCGGUGAAAUGCGUAGAGAUCGGAAGGAACACCAGUGGCGAAGGCGACUACCUGGACCGAUACUGACACUGAGGUGCGAAAGCGUGGGUAGCAAACAGGAUUAGAUACCCUGGUAGUCCACGCCGUAAACGAUGUCAACUAGCCGUUGGGGGACUUGAUCCUUUAGUGGCGCAGCUAACGCGAUAAGUUGACCGCCUGGGGAGUACGGCCGCAAGGUUAAAACUCAAAUGAAUUGACGGGGGCCCGCACAAGCGGUGGAGCAUGUGGUUUAAUUCGAAGCAACGCGAAGAACCUUACCUACUCUUGACAUCCUGCGAACUUGGUAGAGAUACCUUGGUGCCUUCGGGAACGCAGUGACAGGUGCUGCAUGGCUGUCGUCAGCUCGUGUUGUGAAAUGUUGGGUUAAGUCCCGUAACGAGCGCAACCCCUAUCCUUAUUUGCCAGCACUUCGGGUGGGAACUCUAAGGAGACUGCCGGUGACAAACCGGAGGAAGGUGGGGAUGACGUCAAGUCAUCAUGGCCCUUACGAGUAGGGCUACACACGUGCUACAAUGGCCGGUACAGAGGGCCGCAAACUCGCGAGAGUAAGCUAAUCUCAGAAAACCGGUCGUAGUCCGGAUCGCAGUCUGCAACUCGACUGCGUGAAGUCGGAAUCGCUAGUAAUCGCGAAUCAGAAUGUCGCGGUGAAUACGUUCCCGGGCCUUGUACACACCGCCCGUCACACCAUGGGAGUGGGUUGCACCAGAAGUAGCUAGUCUAACCUUCGGGAGGACGGUACC